GUUAUUGGAUGUUCCAUCAUACUUGUGGGCCAGGACUUAGUUAAAUGGCUACACCUUGCUACAAGGAAGUCUGGGAAAUACAGUCUUUCAGCUGGAUACAUCCCCCUGGCCUGAAUAAAAGCUGGGUUCUCUUACAAAGCACAAAAAGGGGAUUGAAUAUUGGUUAGGCACCUGUCAAUCUUUCAUAUCAGCCCACGUGAGAUAGCCAGGGUUUGGUGAAAUAAAAUGCUGUUUCUCCUCAAAACACUUCUCUCUUCCUGAUUGGGGAGGGACCCUGUUCUCUGCAGAGAAAUUCUUUCUCAUGACAGGGCCAACAUGUCUGCCAAAAGACAGCAAUAGGACUUCCCAAUCAUUCUAUAUAUUUAAGGGAGACUUUUUAAAAACUACAAUACGGUUGAACUCAUGUGAUUUUUUUUUUUGCCAUGAAGUUUCUUGUUAAGCAUUGAACAUUUAAAAGUAAAUUUUGACUAAUGUGAAAUAAAAGAAUGUUACUUGAAGCAACAAAAAA
rnacentral:lncRNA from 1 species